CCGAGAGCCCCUCCUCUGCGCAGCAAUGCGUCGUUGAAAGGGGCUAUUCUCACCACCCUUUUUAUGCGUACCUUCUGUUCUUCCUCGGCAGGGCAACCUGCCGGUGGAACCUCAUCGUGAACCUUUUGCAUCUAGCAUUACUUGUUCUGAUACCCUAAAUCGUCA
rnacentral:misc_RNA from 1 species